rnacentral:lncRNA from 1 species
GAUCCGAAAUAAGUAUACCUUUAAUUUAAUAAUAUUUAUUUCUCUUUUAAUUCACACCGAUUACUUGCAUGACGUAAUCAUAAUAAUAAGUGGUCACCGCGAGAAAACUUUUUAAAUUCAAUUUUCAAACAAAUUCCAUAACGAAAGUCAUAUUUCUGAUCAUCCACCGACUAACUGUCACUAUCUAAAAAAUCAUUUUAAAAUUUACUUGUGCAUACAAUCUGGUUUCACACAAUAAUUUUGGUUUUGGAAUGUGAAAAAGUCACAAAAAGUCCUGACUUUUUGGCCAGAUUUUGCGAGGUAGCGUAUAUUGUUAGGACGCUCUCGUUUUGAUAUGCCGUUAAUUUGAGACCAAUUCAAUUUGAGACCGUCUAGUUUGAGGCCUGUACGAAUAAAGUCAACCAUAUUUUGAUUGUUUUACAAUUGUUUAUCCUGUUGCUGAAUUUCCACUACAUACCCAUUUGGAAAACUAAAGUAAUAAAUUUUAUUAAUAUUUCUCAUCGAUUCGGAAUGUGACGACAGAAUCCAGCUUAUUUCCUGUUUUUUUUUUGAAAAUUGAAUAUUUAGUUUCUAAAGAAUUUUGUUAGAAUACUCUGCUACAUAAUAUUAUAUUAUUUCUUAUUUGUGAAGACUAAGAAAGCUUUCCGGCGUCCAAAAAUAAGUUAAUUACAUAAUAAAUAAUAAUAAUAUCUUCUUUUUCGUUUUGAUAAAAUUAUAAUUUUUUUGUUAUUUAAUUGAACGAUAAAUAUACCAUACUCUAACGUUAUUACCGUUGUUCACUAUUCCUAGUUUUUUUAUACUUAAUUCUAUUCCAGAUGAUGAGGUGUAUCUAGAUGAUAUAGUAAAGGUAGUUAACCUCCUAAUAAAUAUUUCAUAUAUUUUUUUUUGUGUAAUCUGACUAUGUAUACCAUGUUUGUUUUGUGUGGUUUCCAUGUUUCUCCUAGGUUAGCUGAAAGAUAUGGUGGCGCCCGCUGAAGAUUGGAAAAUAAGACCUGACACCGAUCGUUGUACUAAAAUAUUUUUUUUUAUUUGAUUUUCAUAAUUUGAUCUGAUAAACAGCAUCACAUCUCUAAUAACAUCCAUAAGAAUCCAUCCCUAUAAUCUCUAGAGACUAGAGCUACCGUGGUAUUUAUAUGUGUUAGCUUCCUCCAGUGUGUUUCUCAUUUUUUUUAUCAUUUUAUUUGAGUGAAAUCA